rnacentral:rRNA from 1 species
UACGUAGGGUGCGAGCGUUGUCCGGAAUUAUUGGGCGUAAAGAGCUCGUAGGCGGUGUGUCGCGUCGGCCGUGAAAACCUGGGGCUUAACUCUGGGCGUGCGGUCGAUACGGGCAUCACUAGAGUUCGGCAGGGGAGACUGGAAUUCCUGGUGUAGCGGUGAAAUGCGCAGAUAUCAGGAAGAACACCAAUGGCGAAAGCAGCUCUCUGGGACGGUACUGACGCUGAGACGCGAAAGCGUGGGGAGCGAACAGG